rnacentral:rRNA from 1 species
UACGGAGGGUGCAAGCGUUAAUCGGAAUUACUGGGCGUAAAGGGUGCGUAGGUGGUUUGUUAAGUUAUCUGUGAAAUCCCUGGGCUCAACCUGGGCAGGUCAGAUAAGACUGAUGAACUCGAGUAUAGGAGAGGUAGUGGAAUUUCCGGUGUAGCGGUGAAAUGCGUAGAGAUCGGAAGGAACACCAGUGGCGAAGGCGGCUACCUGGCCUAAUACUGACACUGAGGCACGAAAGCGUGGGGAGCAAACAGG